rnacentral:rRNA from 1 species
ACGGGGGGGGCAAGCGUUGUUCGGAAUUACUGGGCGUAAAGGGCUCGUAGGCGGCCAACUAAGUCGGAUGUGAAAUCCCCAGGCUUAACCUGGGAACUGCAUCCGAUACUGGAUGGCUUGAAUCCGGGAGAGGGAUGCAGAAUUCCAGGUGUAGCGGUGAAAUGCGUAGAUAUCUGGAGGAACACCGGUGGCGAAGGCGGCAUCCUGGACCAACACUGACGCUGAGGAGCGAAAGCCAGGGGAGCAAACGAG